rnacentral:lncRNA from 1 species
UGUUGAUUGUGAAAUGCCAGUUGAAGCAUAUGUCCUGCGAGCUUAGGGGUGCUACAAGUUGACCACUGCAGCAGUAAAGAUGACUCUGAAGAAUGGCGUGGGAUGGUUCCUUUCAAAUGCACUUGAGCAGCGGUCUCCAACCACAGGGCCACAGAGCUGGAGCUGGAUCUACCAUGAAAGACUUGUGAAUCCAGGAAGAGAGACUGACUGGGCAACAUGUUAUUCAGGUGGGAACAUCCAGUUGCAGGAAAACAAGCUUAACACGCCCACUGAUUCUACAUUAUGCUCCUACCUCCCGGCAGCCUCUCCAGGCCCAGAACUUUCUCCAGUCAGCCUCUACAGACCAAGCUCAUGACUCACAAUGGCCUAUUUAGGCCCAUACCCUACGUCACGGCAGCCUCCGCAGAUGAGGCUACUGCCUCACAACAGCCUCCACAGGCACAGCUCCAUCGUUACAAUGGCCUCUUUAGACCCAGCUCCUGCCUCCCAGCCUUCUCUCCAGGCCCUGAACAUUCUCAGGUCUCCCUCUGUUGUCCAAGGCUGGAGUGUAGUAGUGCUAUCGCAGCUGACUGCAGCCUCAACCUUCCAGGCUGAAGCGAUCCUCCCACCUCAACCUCCCACGUGGCUGAGACUACAGGUGCUUGCCACUAUGCCCAACUAAUAUUUGGAAUUUUCGUAUACGUGGAUUCCAGAGGGGUGACAGCGAAACGUGGGACCAUCCAGUUGCAGGAAAACAAGCUUAACACGCCCACUGAUUCUACAUUAUGCUCCUACCUCCCGGCAGCCUCUCCAGGCCCAGAACUUUCUCCAGUCAGCCUCUACAGACCAAGAUCAUGACUCACAAUGGCCUAUUUAGGCCCAUACCCUACGUCACGGCAGCCUCCACAGAUGAGGCUACUGCCUCACAACAGCCUCCACAGGCACAGCUCCAUCGUUACAAUGGCCUCUUUAGACCCAGCUCCUGCCUCCCAGCCUUCUCUCCAGGCCCUGAACUUUCUCAAGUCGACCUCACCAGGCCCAGGUCAUGCUUCUUUGCAGCCUCUCCAGGCCCAGCUCCUGCAUCUUGGUGGCCCCUCCAGGCCCAGCCUCUGCCUCCCGUCAGCCUCUACAGUCCCAACGUCUGCCUCACAGCAGAUUCUUCACGCCCAGCAUCUACCUCACUGUGGACCCCCCAAGCCAAGCUCCCAACCUUUCAGCAGCUUCUACACACCCAGCUCCUGCCACCCAGUGGCCUCUUUAGGCCAAGCUCAUGCUUCACAAGGGCCUUUCCAGGCCCAACUUUUGUCUCAUGGCAACCUUCCCUGGCCAGAUUCCUGCCUGUCUCCCAGCAGCCUAGACAGGCCCAGGUCUUGCCUCACACUGGCCUCUCUACAUCCAGCUUAUGCCUCACGGUGGCCUCUCCACGCCCAACUCCUGUCCCAGGACGUCAUCUCCGGGCCCAAAACUUACUCAAGUCAGACUCUCUAGUCCCAACUACUGCCUCCUGGUGGCCUAUGAAGGCCCAAAAUCUCCUCAAGUUGACCUGUCCAGGCCCAGCUCCUGCCUCCUGUCAGCGUCUACAGGCCCAACCUCUGCCUCAUGGGGGCUUCUCCAGACCCACCUCUUCCUCUUGGCUGGGUCUACAGGCACAACUGCUGCCUCACAACAGCCUUUUUUGGCCCAGUUCCUGUCCAGCUCAUGGCGGCCAAUGUAGGCCCAAAACUUCCUCAAGUCAAACUCUCCAGGCCCACCUUCUGCUUCCCGGUGGCAUCAACAGGCCCAGCUUUGACUUGAGAACAGCCUCUGCAGGCCCUGCUCUUGCCUCCCAGGGGCUUUUUCCAGGCCCAGCUCUUGCCUCAUGGCAGCUGCCCCAGGCCAAAUUUCUGCCUGCCUGCCAGCAGCCUCAACAGGCACAGCUCCUCCCUCACAGUGGCCCAUUUAGGCCCAACUCAUGACUGUGAGGCCAUUUCCAGGCCUAGUGCCUGCCUCGUGGCUGACUCUUGAAGCCCAAAACUUCCUCAAAUCAGGCUUUUGCCCAACUUCUGUCUACUGUCGGACUCUACAGGUCAGCCUCUGCCUCACAGUGGACCCUCCAGACCCAGAUGGUGUCUCACUGUGGCAUCCUCAGGCGAAGCUCCUGCCUUUUGGCAGCCUCUCCAGGCCCAGCUCCUCCUGCCUCCCAGUGGCCUCUUUCGGCCCAGCCCAGCUCAUGCCUCCCGGCGGCCUUCCCAAGCCCCGCUUUUGACUUUCGGUGGCCUCUGCAGGCCUCGACAAGGCCCAGCCUCCUGCCUCCCGAAGGCCUGCACAGGCCCAGCCUCUGCCUCACAGCGGACUCUCCACGCCCAGCUAGCUGUUGCUUCACUGCGGCCUCCCGAGUCCAAAGCUCCUGCCUCUCGGCCGCUUCGGCAGGCCCAGCUCCCGCCUGCCAGUGGCCUCUUCAGGCCCAUGGGGCUCAUUCCUGACAACGGCCUUUCCAGGCCCAGUUUUUCCCUUCCGGCGGCCUCUCCGGGCCCAGAACCUCCUCAAGUCGGCCUCUCCAGACCCACUUGCACCCUCCGUGCAUUCUCUCCGGGCCCAGCUCUUCUUCCUGGUUGGGUCUCCAGGCCCGAUUCCUGCCUCUCAACAACCUCUUUGGACUCAGUGCCUACCCAUCUCCUGGCGGCCUUGGUCGGCCCACAGCUUCCUCAAGCCAAGCUCCCCAGGCCCAGGUCAGGCCUCACGGUGGCCUCUCCAGGAUGAGCUCCUGCCCUCCGAUGGCAUCUCCAGGCCCCAAAUGGUCUCCGGUCGGUGGGCUCCUCCACGCCAAGGUUGGGCCUCCCGGCGACUGCCGCAGGCCCAAGUUGUCCUGAAGUCGGGCUCUCCCGGCCCUGCCUCCCAGCAAGUAAGCAAGCUCUUUUGGCUCAACUCCUGCCCAGCUCCCAACCGCCUUUGUAGGCCCCGAACUUUCUCCAGCCAAGCUCUGAGGGCCCACCUCCUGCCUCCUGGUGGCCUGUACAGUUCUAGCACUGGUUGGAGAACAGCCUCUGCAGGCCCCGCCCUUGCCUCCCAGGGGCCUCUCCAGGCCCAGCUCUUGCCCCCACGGCGGCCUCUCGGGGCCAAGUCCCUGCCUGCCUCCCAGCAGCCCGCGUGCGGCCCAGCUCCUCCCUCACGGUGGCCUGUUGAUGCCCAACUCAUGCCUCUGGCACCCUGCCCAGAGGCGUGAGCCCCUGCCUCACACUGGCUCCUCCCACGCUGAGAGAGGUCAGUGUGAGCCCUUGCCUCACCCCGGCCCCUCCCACGCGGACAGAGGUCAGCGUGAGCCCCUUGCCUCACACCGGCCCCUCCCACGCUGAGAGAGGUCAGUGUGAGCCCUUGCCUCACACCGGCCCCUCCCACGCGGACAGAGGUCAGCGUGAGCCCCUUGCCUCACACCGGCCCCUCCCACGCUGAGAGAGGUCAGCCCGAGCCCCUUGUCUCACACCGGCCCCUCCCAUGCUGAGAGAGGUCAGUGUGAGCCCUUGCCUCACACCGGCCCCUCCCACGCUGAGAGAGGUCAGUGUGAGCCCCUUGUCUCACACCGGCCCCUCCCACGCGGACAGAGGUCAGCGUGAGCCCCUUGCCUCACACCGGCCCCUCCCACGCUGAGAGAGGUCAGCCUGAGCCCUUGCCUCACACCAGCCCCUCCCACGCGGAGAGAGGUCAGCGUGAGCCCCUUGCCUCACCCCGGCCCCUCCCACGCUGAGAGAGGUCAGCGUGACCCCCUGCCUCAACAGGCCACCGUGAGGGAGGAACAGGAUCGCACUCGGGCUGCUGGGAGGUAGGCAGGGACUUGGGCCUGGGAGGUCGCGGUGGGGCGAGAGCUGGGCCUGGAGACUCCCCUGGGAGGCAACAGCGGGGUCUGCAGACGCCCUUCUCCAGCCGGAGCUGGGACUGUUCAGUCACUGGGAGAAGGGAUGUGGGUCUGAAGAGCUUGGUUGCAGAAACUUUGGGGUCUACAAACGCAGGCGGGAGCUGAGCCAAAAGAGCUUGUUUGCUGGGAGGUGGGAGAUGCAGCCAGGAGGAACAGCUGGGCAAUGCGGGAGGCAGAGGCCAGGCCUCCUCAAGUUGGCCUCUCAGACCCACUUGCAGCCUCCCGGCGCCCCCUCCGGGCCCAGCUCUUCCUCCCGGCUGCAUCUCCAGGCCGGACUCUGGCCCGACUCCAGGUCCCAACAACGUCUUUGGACUCAGCUCCUGCCCAGCUCCCAGCGGCCCUGGUAGGCCCACAACUUCCCUAAGCCAAGCUCCCCAGGCCCAGCUCAGGCCUCGCGGUGGCCUCUCCAGGCUCAGCUCCUGGCCCUCCGAUGACAUCUGCAGGCCCCAAAUGGCCUCCGGUCGGUGGGCUCCUCUAGGCCCAGCUUGGGCCUCCCGGCGGCCUCCGCAGGCCCAAAUCGUCCCGAAGUCAGUCUCUCCAGGCUUAGCUCCAGCCUCCCGGCGGCCUCUGCAGGCCCAAGUCGUCCUCAAGUCGGCCUGGAAGUGGGCCUGGAAGAGCAGCAAGUCGGCCUCCCUGGGCCCAGCUCCGUCCUCUCGACGGCCUCUCCAGGUGCAAAACUUCCUCGAGUCAGCCUCUCCAGGCCCAGCUCCUCCUGCCUCCCAGUGGCCUCUUUCGGCCCAGCCCAGCUCAUGGCUCUCGGCGGCCUUCCCAGGCCCCGCUUUUGAGUUUUGGCAGCCUCUUCAGGCGCAGAACUUGAUCUCCAGUCGGCCUUUGCAGGCCCGGCCUCCUGCCUCUCGAAGGCCUGCACGGGCCCGGCCUCGGCCUCGGCCUCACAGCGGACUCUCCACGCCCAGCUAGCUCUCGCCUCACUGCGGCCUCCCCAGUCCAAAGCUCCUGCCUUUCGGCCACUUCGGCAGGUCCAGCUCCUGCCUGCCAGUGGCCUCUUUAGGCCCAGCUCAUUCCUCACGUCGGCCAUUCCAGGCCCCGUUUUUCCCUUCCGGCAGCCUCUUGGCCUCUAAUUUGUUUAUCUUUUGUGUAUAAAUCCCAAAAUAUUGAAUUUUGGAAUAUUUCCACCAUUA